AACGAACGUUAGCGGCGCGCUUAACACAUGCAAGUCGUGCGAGAAAGGGAGCAAUCCCCGGUAAAGCGGCGCACGGGUGAGUAACACGUAGGUAACGUGCCCCCAGGUGGUGGAUAACCUUCCGAAAGGAGGGCUAAUACAGCAUAAGACCACGGCUUCGAAAGGAGCUGAGGUCAAAGUCGGCCUCUAUUCAUAAGCUGACGCCAGGGGAUCGGCCUGCGGCCCAUCAGGUAGUUGGUAGGGUAAUGGCCUACCAAGCCUAAGACGGGUAGCUGGUCUGAGAGGAUGAUCAGCCACACUGGAACUGAGACACGGUCCAGACUCCUACGGGAGGCAGCAGUGGGGAAUCUUGCGCAAUGGGCGAAAGCCUGACGCAGCGACGCCGCGUGAGUGAUGAAGGCCUCGGUUGUAAG
rnacentral:rRNA from 1 species